rnacentral:tRNA from 1 species
GAGGGUGUAGCUCAAGUGGUAGAGCGCCUGCUUAGCAUGCACAAGGUCCUGGGUUCAAUCCCCAGUACCGCCU